rnacentral:rRNA from 1 species
UUAAAUUGAAGAGUUUGAUCAUGGCUCAGAUUGAACGCUGGCGGCAGGCCUAACACAUGCAAGUCGAACGGUAACAGGAAGCAGCUUGCUGCUUCGCUGACGAGUGGCGGACGGGUGAGUAAUGUCUGGGAAACUGCCUGAUGGAGGGGGAUAACUACUGGAAACGGUAGCUAAUACCGCAUAACGUCGCAAGACCAAAGAGGGGGACCUUCGGGCCUCUUGCCAUCGGAUGUGCCCAGAUGGGAUUAGCUAGUAGGUGGGGUAACGGCUCACCUAGGCGACGAUCCCUAGCUGGUCUGAGAGGAUGACCAGCCACACUGGAACUGAGACACGGUCCAGACUCCUACGGGAGGCAGCAGUGGGGAAUAUUGCACAAUGGGCGC